rnacentral:misc_RNA from 1 species
GGUUGGCACCGACUUUUGGUCUACCAAUUUCGCCUUUUCAGAAUCGCUCCGAUUCAGCAGUUCGACUGAGUGCCUUUGCAGUUUUCUUUAGGUGUGCGCGAGGGUGACACAGACACGUCUGUCGUCCUUCGAGAGUUCUUUGUCUGCUUGCUUCUUCUCCGCCCUGCAGACUCCCGUCGCUAACAUGCAUCAGCAGCAGCAGCGGCAGCACAGUUCGCACUUCGCCGAGGAGCGCGUCGGUGACUGCGGCGCCGCCUUCGCAGAACCUCAGCCACUCCACAACUCGGUCACCGGGGAAGCGGCGGGACAACCUCUGCUGGAGGUGGAGCGUCUUGCGGAGCACGGCAUCGGAGCCGCAGACAUUACUAAGCUGAAGCAGGCGGGAAUCUUCACGGUUCCUGGUGUGCAGAUGCAGUGUAGGAAAGACCUCAUUCAGAUAAAGGGCCUCUCCGAGGCGAAGGUCGACAAGAUCAUCGAGGCUGCACGGCGCGUGAGCGAGGUGGGCUUUAUCACCGGUUCGAGCUGCCUGCAGCAGCGCAGCACUAUUCUACGCAUCUCCACCGGUAGUGUGGCGCUCGAUCAGCUGCUCGGUGGCGGCGGAAUCGAGAGCCGCUCCAUCACAGAGGCGUUUGGGGAGUUCCGCACCGGCAAGACGCAGAUCGGGCACACCUUGUGCGUGACCUGUCAGCUGCCGCUGGAGAUGGGCGGCGGCAACGGAAAGGCGGUGUACGUGGACACCGAGGGCACGUUUCGCCCGGAGCGGAUUCGGCCCAUUGCAGAGCGCUUCGGGAUGGACUCAAACUCCGUGCUGGACAACAUCCUUGUCGCCCGCGCCUACACGCACGAGCAUCAAGCCCACCUGCUAUCGAUGGUGGCGGCCAAGAUGGCGGAGGAUCAGUUUAGCCUGCUCGUCGUGGAUAGCAUCACGGCUCUCUUCCGCGUUGACUUCUCCGGCCGCGGCGAGCUCGCAGAGCGGCAGCAGAAGCUGGCAAAGAUGCUGAGCCAACUGAUGAAAAUCGCGGAGGAGUUUAACAUUGCCGUGUACAUCACCAAUCAGGUAGUCUCCGACCCCGGUGGCGCCUCCAUGUUUGUGGCGGACCCAAAGAAGCCCGUGGGCGGCCACAUCCUCGCCCAUGCGUCGACGACGCGCCUGUCUCUGCGCAAGGGCCGCGGCGAUCAGCGCGUGUGCAAAAUAUUUGAUAGCCCAUCGUUGCCGGAGCUCGAAUGCGUGUACAGCAUCUCUGAGCAGGGGAUCAUCGACGCGGUUGAAUGAGGGCCACAAACGGCUACGUGGCAGAAACCUGAGAACCCUUCUUGGUUUUCUCUUGUUGUGUGUUUGAGCACAGUGGGCGGCUCUUCGAUUUACGCAGAGCGCAUGUGCGUGCCAGCAGUGCGGCGCUGAUGAGUGUGCGAGCACACCGCACUGGAGCCUUGCGCACAGGCACACCGAUAAAUUUCAAGUCCUGCUCCCCUUUCUACUGGGCUAUUAUGUUCCACUGCUUCCUUCUGCUGCGCUCUUGUGAGUGGCACCACGGCGUGCGAAAAUUCUAAACAACCACACAACGGCACGUGAGCACUCUACGCUUUCCUUUUAUUUUUCUCCAGGCGGAUCGGCCCUUUUUUUCGUGUCCGUGUGCUCGUAUAUCUUACUCAUUCGUUUGAUGUAGUACUCCGGCGGACACAAAAAACGGGCAGAGGAUAGCGUUUGAAAGUGAUCAUUUCAAGUGAGGUGCGGCUGCCGCACAACGUUCCUUUCCACAUGUCGCCUUGACCUAGCUCUCACUUGCUUUUUCUUUCCCUGCAGAGAGUGUACCGGCGCUCGUGCUGGUUACGAAGCACACUGACGCCAUAGCUGACGGCCGAGCGCGAGAGCUCGGCACUCGCCGACACAGCCAUUCAAGUCGUCUAUCAGCCCACUGCCUCUCUCCACCUUACCCGCCCCCUUUUUUUUCCCUGUGCGAAAUCGUGUUGUCUUGCGUUCUCACAACGCUACGGAUCUCACCUCGCAUGGUGCAG